GACGAACGCUGGCGGCGUGCUUAACACAUGCAAGUCGAACGAUGAAGAAAAGAAUUGAAGCUUCGGCAGAAAUUCAUUUCGGAUUAGUGGCCGACGGGUGAGUAACGCGUGAGCAACCUACCUCUUACAAAGGGAUAGCCUCGGGAAACCGGGAUUAAUACCAUAUAACAUUGCGACGAAGCAUUUCGAUGCAAUCAAAGCUACGGCGGGAAGCGAUGGGCUCGCGUCCCAUUAACCAGAUGGUGAGGUAACGGCUCACCAUAGUAACGAUGGGUAACCGGCAUGAGAGAGUGAACGGUCACACUGGAACUGAGACACGGUCCAGACUCCUACGGGAGGCAGCAGUGGGGAAUAGUGCACCAUGGAGGGAACUCUGAUGCAGCGACGACGCGUGAGUGAUGAAGGAAUUCGUUACGUAAAGCUCUGUUAUAUGGGAAGAAAAGGACUGUACCAUAGGAGAAAGCUCCGGCUAAAUACGUG
rnacentral:rRNA from 1 species